UGGGUCCAACCUCCCACCCAUGUUUAUUGUACCUUGUUGCUUCGGCGGGCCCGCCUCACGGCCGCCGGGGGGCUUCUGCCCUCUGGCCCGCGCCCGCCGAAGACACCAUUGAACACUGUCUGAAGAUUGCAGUCUGAGCAAUUAGCUAAAUAAGUUAAAACUUUCAACAACGGAUCUCUUGGUUCCGGCAUCGAUGAAGAACGCAGCGAAAUGCGAUACGUAAUGUGAAUUGCAGAAUUCAGUGAAUCAUCGAGUCUUUGAACGCACAUUGCGCCCCUUGGUAUUCCGGGGGGCAUGCCUGUCCGAGCGUCAUUGCUGCCCUCAAGCACGGCUUGUGUGUUGGGCCCCGUCCUCCUUCCCGGGGGACGGGCCCGAAAGGCAGCGGCGGCACCGCGUCCGGUCCUCGAGCGUAUGGGGCUUUGUCACCCGCUCUUGUAGGCCCGGCCGGCGCUUGCCGACAACCAUCAAUC
rnacentral:rRNA from 1 species